rnacentral:rRNA from 1 species
UACGUAGGGGGCAAGCGUUGUCCGGAUUUAUUGGGCGUAAAGAGCGUGUAGGCGGCCAGGUAGGUCCGUUGUGAAAACUCGAGGCUCAACCUCGAGACGUCGGCGGAAACCCUCUGGCUAGAGUCCGGAAGAGGAGAGUGGAAUUCCUGGUGUAGCGGUGAAAUGCGCAGAUAUCAGGAAGAACACCCGUGGCGAAGGCGGCUUUCUGGACAAAUACCGACGCUGAGGCACGAAAGCUAGGGGAGCAAGCAGG